GGCAUUUUAGGCACUCUCUAGAGUAUCUGCCUAUUGUACAGCAACCAGUGGGUAAUCUUCCAUUUGGCACCUGGACAAGAGAAGUUGGUGGAAGAGGAAGCAGCCGUGUAUUGUUGACAUUACACAGUGGAGACCUCCUUAGUUCUGCUCUUAAAUUACUAAUAGAAGGUGAGAUAAGUUCAAUACCUAUCGUUGAUGAUAAUGGAGCCCUUAU
rnacentral:misc_RNA from 1 species